GGUUGGUGCGCCCAGUUGGAGCCGCAGCGAUCGCUGAAACGGUUUCAGAAGGGCUCCCCAUCUUGAAGGAACUUAAUCUGUCAUUCGGAGAGAUAACCGAAGAUGCUGCACUGGCUGUGGCCCAUGCUGUCAAGAACAAGAAUCAGAUGGAAAAACUGGAUUUAAAUGGAAACUGUCUGGGAGAGGAAGGCUGCAAAGUUCUGAGAGAUUUCAUGGAAGACAGCAACAUGGCUGAGCUUCUGACGUCGCUCAGUGAUGAUGAGGGUGAACCAGGAGACGAUGAUGAUGAUGAUGGCGAUGACG